ensembl:snRNA
AUCAUCCUUUUCUUAGGGUUGCACUUCUAUCCAAUGAGUACGUAGUGAGGGUAGUACUACUAAUACCUAAAAAAAAAAAAAAGCUUUCCUCAGAUUUUCAAAGAUACUCAGUCUCUAAAAGAUUUUUGAACUA